rnacentral:rRNA from 1 species
ACGGGAGGCAGCAGUGAGGAAUAUUGGAUAAUGGAGGCAACUCUGAUCCAGCCAUGCCGCGUGAAGGACUAAGGCCCUACGGGUCGUAAACUUCUUUUGACGCAGGGCAAUAAGGCGUACGUGUACGCCGAUGAGAGUAUGCGUCGAAUAAGCAUCGGCUAACUCCGUGCCAGCAGCCGCGGUAAUACGUAGGGAGCAAGCGUUAUCCGGAUUUACUGGGUGUAAAGGGCGUGUAGGCGGGACAUCAAGUCAGAUGUGAAAGCACGAGGCUCAACUUCGUGUCUGCAUUUGAAACUGACGUUCUUGAGUGUUGGAGAGGCUAACGGAACUCCUAGUGUAGCGGUGAAAUGCGUAGAUAUUAGGAAGAACACCAGUGGCGAAGGCGGUUAGCUGGACAAUAACUGACGCUGAGGCGCGAAAGCGUGGGUAGCAAACAGGAUUAGAUACCCUGGUA